UACGUAGGGUGCAAGCGUUAAUCGGAAUUACUGGGCGUAAAGCGUGCGCAGGCGGUUUUGAAAGUCUGUCGUGAAAGCCCCGGGCUCAACCUGGGAAUUGCGAUGGAGACUGCAAGGCUUGAAUCUGGCAGAGGGGGGUAGAAUUCCACGUGUAGCAGUGAAAUGCGUAGAGAUGUGGAGGAACACCGAUGGCGAAGGCAGCCCCCUGGGUCAAGAUUGACGCUCAUGCACGAAAGCGUGGGGAGCAAACAGG
rnacentral:rRNA from 1 species